rnacentral:sRNA from 1 species
GAAAAGGCGGAAGCGGAAGUCGGGGGGCGCGCCAGCUCGUAGCAGGGGAGCGCCCGCUUCGUCGGGUCUGAGCUGGAGGUCGCCAUGGGGCGAGGCAGCGGCACCUUCGAGCGUCUCCUAGACAAGGCGACCAGCCAGCUCCUGUUGGAGACAGAUUGGGAGUCCAUUCUGCAGAUCUGCGACCUGAUCCGCCAAGGGGACACGCAAGCAAAAUAUGCUGUGAAUUCCAUCAAGAAGAAAGUCAACGACAAGAACCCACACGUCGCCUUGUAUGCCCUGGAGGUCAUGGAGUCUGUGGUAAAGAACUGUGGCCAGACAGUUCAUGACGAGGUGGCCAACAAGCAGACCAUGGAGGAGCUGAAGGACCUGCUGAAGAGACAAGUGGAGGUAAACGUCCGUAACAAGAUCCUGUACCUGAUCCAGGCCUGGGCGCAUGCCUUCCGGAACGAGCCCAAGUACAAGGUGGUCCAGGACACCUACCAGAUCAUGAAAGUGGAGGGACACGUCUUUCCGGAAUUCAAAGAGAGCGAUGCCAUGUUUGCUGCCGAGAGAGUGAGUGUGGGCGGCCGCCAGGGGUCCUGGAGUCGGGCUGCUCAGGAAGCGUGAAGGGGAGUGCUGGGAGCCCGGCUUGCUUGAGGGUUGGUGGCUGAGCUCUCGUCUGUCUGGGACCUGAGGAUGCCUGUGUGUCCUGGGCGGAGGCAUAGCAGCUGUCUUGCAGGGCGAGGUGGAGACGCGACUCGAGGGCCUUUAGAGUGGCUAGGGGGCUCGGGAAAGGAAAACAAGCACCUUUGAUGAGGAAGGAAGUCCCUUCCUCAGGCCUCGGCAGCUUCACCCCAGCCCACGCCGCUGGGAAGGGCCGCCCGGGGUAUUGCUCUCGCUCGUGCUGGGGUCCUCUCUGGGUCUGUUGCCUUCUGUGGGGCG